rnacentral:lncRNA from 1 species
CAACGAAAAAAAACAUCAAUGUAGUUCAAACAUUGAAAAACUAAAACAUAAACAUUAGUAUUGUGGUUAAACAUACAAAACAUUAUGGCAAAAUAAGUUCUUAAAAUAUCUAAACAUUUCCUAGUUAUUGAUGUUGCUUCAUAAUCCUUAAUUAGUGCUACCAUCUUCUUGACUCUUCUUAUUCGGUUACCUGGAAAAACAUAACUAUUAGGAUACUUAAAAAUAAGGGCAACAAAAUUAAGCUCCGUCUGGAAUCACAUCUCCCACUGCACCUGGAGCCAUUGAUUGAAGAUAGUGAUGUUGUGGUAGCAAACAACUUUCGCGUUGCCUCACGGUGGUCUCGCAGAGGGUUCGCAUUCAGACUUCAGAAACAGAACUGUGAAGCAACCAGAAACAUAGUGAGAAGCAAUAAACAAAGAGCUAGAAUUAAGUGGAAUUAAUAAGAAAGAGAUGAAAAGGUCAAUCAUAAUAUACAAAGAGCUAGAAUCAUACUAUAAGAGGACCAAUUUCAGCAUCCAAAGUACAUAAUUUGAGUCCUUGCAAUCAACUCAGUUUCAAGUGAAUAAUUCAUCCUUGGCUUUCCCCGAUAUGCUACAUUUAUCGUGCCCUCUCCUACAUUAAUAACAAAUGAAAUCAAAAUUAUGAUACACCCAUAAGAAAAAUGCAUUUGUAUGAUAAAAAUAAAUUUGUAUAAACUCAUAAGAAUGAUUCCAUCCUUUUAGCAUUCUCUUCUAUUAUUUUGCUCCGUGGCUCCUCAUAUGGUGAAGUCGCCAUUUUCACUCCAGCUUCCCUAUCC